UACGUAGGGUGCAAGCGUUGUCCGGAAUUAUUGGGCGUAAAGAGCGUGUAGGCGGCCCGAUUAGUCCGCUGUGAAAGUCCAGGGCUCAACCCUGGAAUGCCGGUGGAUACUGUCGGGCUAGAGUCCGGGAGGGGCGAGUGGAAUUCCUGGUGUAGCGGUGAAAUGCGCAGAUAUCAGGAGGAACACCAAUGGCGAAGGCAGCUCGCUGGGACGUGACUGACGCUGAGACGCGAAAGCGUGGGGAGCAAACAGG
rnacentral:rRNA from 1 species